GCAGGCCUUUUGUUGGCUAUUUUGCAACCCCUUUUCUUGAUGCAUAUAUCUCGCAUCAUGUAUUAGAUACAUUCCUCUCUUUGUACUCUUAAACUCUAAAGGGACUAAAACAGAGAAGCCCCAAAUUUGAGGUUUCUACACCUAAAUGAUUAUUUCAUAUCUUCCCUAUUUCCUCAUCUACCAGCGGUUGCUCAGCUUAUUAAUACUUUUGUUUGUAUACGUAUCAUUUUCUGUCGUGGCAGGGUCAAGGGUUUCACUUCUUAGUUGGUAGGUGUUCAGUAGUGGCCUGUGUAUGAGUCAAUGGAGUUCUCUCUAAACUGUUUAUUAGCUGGAAUGGUACUUGGCAGGGUUUUUUUCUCUCCCUGCAAGUUUUGAUUCUAUCUCUAGAUAGAGGCAGUCCAUGGUGGAGAUUGCAUAUCUGGCUUUCCCGGGCGGUGAAGUAAUGCGCUUUAUGUGGAUGCCCUGUUUGGAGUAUAUGCACAAAACGCACAACUUGGGGAGGUGAUCCCCAGAGAGUUCAGUGAUGGCCCUGGCACCUUUUCUCUUUAUCUAAAGAUGUGCUCUUCCACCCUAUCCCACCUGCAUACAGUUUAUAGUGUCUGCCCUCUGACCUUUAAACCCCAGUUGUUUUUUUCUGUUAUUAUAUGCAAAUACAUUUUAAUACCUCAUAUGCAAGAUAUUGUCACCUAAUACAACCUCAUUUGUUUGAUUCUGUACUGACAAACACUUUAAAUGUGAGAUUCUUAAAUGUUUACUUUAUUUCUUUGUUGAUUGUAUUUUUACUUUGUAUGACAAUUGAAGCUCUGGUGUACAUUCUAGUGCCUGCAGGGUGACUUGUUGAUACAGGAUAUUAUGUCACUUAAUACAACAUCUCCCUUAUUUUGUUUGAUUCUGUGCCAACAAAUACUUUAAAUUAGACAUUCUAAAAUGUUUAUUUCCUUG